GAUGAACGCUGGCGGCGUGCCUAAUACAUGCAAGUCGAGCGAACGGACGAGAAGCUUGCUUCUCUGAUGUUAGCGGCGGACGGGUGAGUAACACGUGGAUAACCUACCUAUAAGACUGGGAUAACUUCGGGAAACCGGAGCUAAUACCGGAUAAUAUUUUGAACCGCAUGGUUCAAAAGUGAAAGACGGUCUUGCUGUCACUUAUAGAUGGAUCCGCGCUUCAUUAGCUAGUUGGUAAGGUAACGGCUUACCAAGGCAACGAUGCAUAGCCCACCUGAGAGCGUCAUUCGCCACCCUGGAACUGAGACACGGUCCCGACUCCUGCGGGAGGCCGCGGUAGGGACUCUUACGCGAUGGAGGAAAGCCUGACCGUGCACCGCCGCGUGAAUGCUGAACGUCUUCGGAUCGUAAAGCUCUGUUAUUAGGAGAGUUCAUAUGUGUAAGUAGCUGUGCACAUCUUGACGGUACCUGCACAGAAAGCCACGGCUAACUACGUG
rnacentral:rRNA from 1 species